rnacentral:rRNA from 1 species
AUUGAACGCUGCGGCAGGCUUAACACAUGCAAGUCGAGCGAGCGGCGGACGGGUGAGUAAUGCUUAGGAAUCUGCCUAUUAGUGGGGGACAACAUCUCGAACGGGAUGCUAAUACCGCAUACUAUUAGAUGAGCCUAAGUCGGAUGCGCUAGUUCGGGGGGUAAAGGCCUACCAAGGCGACGAUCUGUAGCGGGUCUGAGAGGAUGAUCCGCCACACUGGGACUGAGACACGGCCCAGACUCCUACGGGAGGCAGCAGUGGGGAAUAUUGCACAAUGGGGGGAACCCUGAUGCAGCCAUGCCGCGUGUGUGAAGAAGGACUUCGUGUUGUAAAGCACUUUCAGCGGGGAGGCGUUACCCGCAGAAGAAGCACCGGCUAACUCCGUGCCAGCAGCCGCGGUAAUAC